GAGCAGAUAGCGCGGGGACUCUGGCAGGAACGGGAGGCUCACGAGUUGGAUGGAGGCGGGAACCACAAUCACGCCAAACAGCAUGAGAUGCAGAGAUGGGAAGAUCCAAGUUCCAGCCCUGCAGAAGCCUCCCCUCCGCACAGGCAUGUAGGCAGGCGGCCCAGCCAUGCCCAUACUCGGUGGAGGGCAGCUGGAGCCUCCGACUCCCGCAGGCCGGGACGCAGCUGCUCAGGACAAAGGGGCUGGACUCCUCCGCGGCCGUCUCUGACGCUGGGGAUACAGACUGACCACCUCUUCUUUGGCGACCUGAGGCAGCCUGACUUCACAUCACCCACAGACUAAGCAGGAGGCCCAGGGUUUGAAGCCUAGAUCCUGCGGGGCAGAACGUCGGCACUGGAGGGCAACCCACUAGUGCUUUAGUCUAAAGCUAAGGUCUUCACAAGUCUGGCUCACCCUCCACGAGGUGGCAGAAGGGGUGCCUGAUGGGGAGAAGGCCCGAGCGUUUCCCUCGGGACGCCUGGGCAGCAUCUCCUCGAAUUCGGCUCCAUUUUCAGUGGCUCUCUGUCCCGGAGGAGGCUCGUGCUCCUCCUGCUCGGGGUUCUCUGCCGGUGAUCCCUUCCCUCCUCACUUCUGCCUGGCAGCUCCUAUCCACCCUGGAGAGCCAGCUCUAUGCCCUGGGCAUCCACCCCAUCAGGACCAGCACUUCCCUCAGAGAGCACCAAGCCGUUGCCUUAUGCUGGUACCGGACUCGAGUUCCAUGCCGGGUGUCCGUGUGUGUGACCCAUCUGGUUUCUCUCCCAGCAUGCAGCAAAGUGCACCGUUACACGGACGCGGGAAGGAGGGCGUUUCUGAAAGCUUGGGUCAGCGUAAGCAUUAGCAGCCAGACCGGGCACUGAGACUUUGGGAAUAUCCUCCGUGGUGAACUGGAAGCACACAAGGUCCAGGUUCUAAUCCUAGUCUGAUCGUCACGUAAAUCUGGGGUGAUUUACCUUCCUUCUUAGGACCUCAGUUUCCUUUCCGGGAACACAAGAAGCUUGUGCUCAAUGGCAGAGAUGACAAAACCCUUCCAGCUCAAGCCUUUAUGGCUCUGGGCCCUUCUCUGUUACCCUUCCCUUUCCCCAGCACACUUUUGGACACCUGGUCGGUACUUACGGCUCGAGUGAAAUAGAACCGCUAGAUUUGGAAUCCAAAGGUUCGGGUUCAAAUGCUCACUUGGCAUUCUACCAGUGACCUUGCAGAAUCUAUUUUCCCCACAGGCGUUUCUGUAAAACAAAGGGAGGGGACCAAUUCAGGAAAAGCCUUCUGCUGGCUCUCACCACCUCUGCUCUAGUCGUCCCCAACCUUCAUUUCUUGAGUAGAGUCGAGUUGGAAAAUGGCCUUUAGCCAGCAGGACAGAGGCACAAAGUGUCUUCUCUAAGAGCAGUGAAGCCUUUAGGAUCUGUGAUGAGACCCAAAGAACAUGGUGUUGGAAGGGCUCUUAAUGAUCUGCUGAUGGUUUUCCUCCCGUUCGGAGCCCUGGCCAACAACACUCCUGGAAGUGGAGGACAGACCCGGGGGCAACACACGGAAAACCCGAUUCCACAUCCAGACACUCAAGGCCCUGUGCUAAGAGCCAGUGUGGAUUGGGAGGAAACGUGCAUAAAGUCACCGACUGUUAGAGAUGAAGCCCGUACGCUUGCCCAGGCAGGAAACCGAGGCCCAGGUAACGGAGGGCAGAGCCGGCCUGGCACGUUCGGCCCGCCAUUCUCGCGCUCGGGGGUCUUGUCUGCACCAGCCGACAAAGGAGACAGCUGUAAGUGCUUUGUAAACUCUCGUUAAGGAGGAUUGUAAACGUGGGCAAUAACGUCCUUACUGUGUUUCCUUCACAGUAGGAAUAUCGAGCAGAGACGAUUGCAAUCUGCACGGGAUUGUGCACAGGACAGGCAAAUGUAGUCUGAAUGCUCCCAUGCCCGGGAACCAGGAGGUUUGAAUUCUGGUUCUGCCCAUCUGCCAAAUUGGGGCAGAAGUUCACUUCUCUGAGCCUGUAAAAGAGGCUCACUUAAUACUCGAGCUACUUACCUCCCAGCUUCUUUGGAAGGACAAAUGGAGUACUACUGCACACAGAACGCUGUGAUUGGAAGCCACCGAGUUAAUGAAACGCCUAUUUUUAUCCUCAUAACCAUUGUUAGCUUAAAACACAGGAGCUAAGAAAUAAGCACUAAGCAUAAAACACAAAGGAUCGUGGGCCAGUGAUAGGGAGAUUUAUCUAGCUCCAGCUUUAAAGCUCUCCAGGACAAUUCCAAAGCUGUUGUUUAUCUGGGACAGGGUAGAGAACUGAAAGAUGACUGGAGCUGCUUCUCCAAUGGAACAGGGAGAGCGUCACAGGCUGGUGGGCUCCGAUUACUUCUGGAGGAGGGCUCGACUUCUCCCGGGAAGCAGAGCCGCCUCCUCAAAGACAAACUAAAGAUCAUUUUAAUCCACUUCUUACAAAGCCCUUUAUGCAUAAUGCAGCUGGAAACAGUGCAAUAAAACCCCGUGAUUAUAAAACCUGAGGCAUCCUUCUUCCUGAUCCAUUUUCUAUGAGAAUUACAAAUAAAUGGACUGUGGGGCUGCCUGCAGAGACUUUAUUACAUAGGAGGGAGAGAGAGGAAGGAGCCAGGGAGAGAGAAUAGAUGAAAGGCAGGUAAGUCAAGACAAAAACUCUGACCCAUUUUAUCUGUUAAGUUAAAGAAGAUGGCAAAAGAAUCAGAUAUUUAAGUAUGAAAGGCAUUAUAUAGAUGGGAACUUCUGGAUAGUUGGAACAUUCCUAAAGGAUGAAACAAAGGAAAUCAUCUUCAAAGAAGGGGAUGAAUAAGAAGUCUGAGCCAGGAUCCAACUGCUGGGUCAGGGGCGAGAGACCCCAAAUCCCAAGUGCUCUGGAAUCCAGAAGUCGAGAACAAGUCAAGGAAACCACGCUGGGUCAGCAGACGGGGGCCAGGAAUUUGGGCCAGCUGUGUAGAGCAUUCCCGUGUGCUCCUCACCUUCACUCUUUGCUAAGGAAGGGUCCAGAGCUCAGUCUUGGUGACUCUUCCAAAUCCGGGGGCCGGGCGGGGGGGCCCCCUGUACGGAGAUGUUGGGACUCUUUCCCGGGCUCACUCCAGCGGCCCAUUCAGGGCCAGCCUUGGGGAAUGCAGCUCAGGAGAGGAACCUGGAGGCUGGAAGGAACCCUAGAAGCUGUCUCCUGAUGGGAAUCUCCUCAACAGCAUGCUUGGCUAACGGCUUUCUCAAGGAAGUCUUCCAGCUCUCAGCCAAUGGCCCUUUUGAUCCCACGUGAAGGUUCCUCUCUGCAAUGGCAGAGCACGCCCAACAGUCUUCAGAAGAGAAAGGGCGACAGAUCUCUAUACAGCCUCCAUCUCUCAGGCAAUGGACGGAGCGGGGGGAAAGGGGGGGCAAGACAUGGCCCUGAACCAUUUCUCCAGUUCCCCCACAGCUGGCGAGCUUCCCAGCAGCAGCCCAAUUAAGAAGGUAACUAGGUCACCUUCUGGGCCUAAGACUUUCACUUUUGUAGCCACAGAGCAUGGGUUUCUUGGUCCAGACCCAUUAUCUGAAUUACCACCAGCAAUGUGAUGCUCCCAAAGUGCUCACUUUCUUUAAAUGUCUCUAAAAUCUGGGUCCUUCCUACACUUCCUUUUUCUCACCCCUUCCCCCUUUCCACAGCCGUGUGACCCUGGCCUCCUAGCUGCCCCCACCCAGGUUCUGCCAUCUGACUGCCUCACUGCUGGCGGGGGGGGGAGGCAACCCUCCAGCCCCCCAGCCUCCUUCCCUCUGCUUCUCUCCUUCCCUGGCUUCCUCCCAGACUCCCAACCCUCCUCCUCAGACUUCCCUCCGAGACUGUCUCCAACACAUCCUCCAGUCUGCCAUUUGUACCCUCUCUCAUUAGAUGGGGCACAAGCUGCCACAAUUUCCAUCCCAGGGCCUGGCACCUAGGGGCAUCUGGUAAAUGCCUGCUGGCUUGCCCUGGAGCCCAAGUCGAGUUCGUAAAGCCGACUCUGGCUCUUUUCCUAGAACUGACUAGAGCCAGAGACUUGGGAGUUGCCUUGGGGAGCACAGAGGGGAGACAGAAUGGAGCAAUGGUCUGGGAAAGGUGAGAACGAAAGUCCACAUCUAGGAGCCCCUCCCUGGCCAAAUGAAGAUCAUGGCUGUGGUGCGGUAAAGGGACUACAUGGGACACAUCACCAGUCUGCCAAAUCACGGCCUCGGUCUGAGUCCCAUGAGAUUAACUGAGUCGUCCUGAGGCACGGGGCAGUGGCCAUCACUCAGAGUCACAAAGACCGAUUCUUCUGAGUUCGAAUCUAGCCCCAGACACUUAUAGAUCUGUGACCCUUGCCCCAGUUUCAUCUGUAAAAUAGUUAAAUCUACCUCCCAAGGCUGUUAUGAGGAUCAGAUAAUAGUAAUGGGUUUAGCACAGUUCCUGGCACACAGUGACUGCUAUACCAAGACAUACUAGUACUGUUAUUCACAUGGCCUUCCAGGUUCUGCUCACUUUGCAUCUUCAUGAGCAAACGGAAGAGCAUUGACGAUGACAAUAUGAAACAUUGCUCCAAAACAAUAAUGAAAGAAAAGCCCAUUAAAACCCCUUUGAGGCUUGCCCUCAUAAUCAGCAAGUUGGAAAAGACAAAUAGAGACCAGUCAGUACCGGAGGGGCUGCAGGAGGAUAUUGGCAGGUGAGCUGGAAAUCGGAAAACUAGUUGGAAUUAGGCAAGUGGCUGAACUAUGGAUAAACUCUUUGAGCUAGAUACCUCACUGCUGGACAAAUAUCCCCAAAAAGGCUAAAAAUAGGAAGAAAGGCCCCUUAUGCCCCAAAAUAUGGAAAAUUGGGGGGUUUGUUUGGUUUGGGCGAUCACAAAGAACUGGAAACAAAGUGGUUGAGAAUGGCUGAACAAAUUAUGGUUUAUGAAUGGAUCAAGGAUAGGAUCUGGUGACUUUUGGACAACUACGAGGGGACAACCUCAUUCUUUAUUGGAGACAUAAGAGAACGUUGGCUUGUCUGAGGACCACAGCAUUCAGAAUUUGCAGCUAAGCUGAAGAGUUGUUUCUAAUCUUUGCUAGGGAGGGAAGAAGACCCCUUUGGCCCACCCUCCAGGCCUCUUUCUCUGUUGAAUCAACUUCCCAGGGGAGUGAUGACAAUGGAUGGUACUUACUUGGGUUACAACUGCGAUAGAAGAAAUGGUAAAGACGGGACGCAAACGUGAAAAGACUUGUAGGAACUAAUGAUAGUAAUAAGGAUAUUAUCACUGCUUGCCAAGCUCUGACACAAAAGGGAAGGCAGAGAGAGGAAGUGCCCCAUCAGGAAGCGGGAGACAGCAGUCUCUGUGCACUGACAGAAUGACUCAGCCUGUUCUCCCAAAACCUCAGCCUUCCAGUGACAGAUUGGGUUCUCCGCCCCCACUACAAACCAUGGCCCCCGGCCUGCUGUACUGCUUCCUGAUUCAGCGGUACCCAGGAAGACUCUGGGCUCUGACAAAUGCUGAAUUCCCUAUGGAUUUCGUUCCUCUAUGAACAUUUGCUAUAAGCCUACAAAGGAGGAAAAAUCCUCAUUAAUCUCCUUUUAGAGACUGAGAUUUUAGCUAGAAGUGAGAAUGUCAAAAGUCGAAGGAACCUCAGAUGUCACUAAAUAUAACCUUUUUCCCCCUGAUUUUUGCAAUGACUAAAUUCAGGCUCAUUGAAUAGAAAUGAUUUCUCCAAGGUCUCAAAGCUGAGACUUGGGCUGGACCAGGGUGCUCUCGCCGUACCUCUUCUGGGUAUGACCCAACCCAGGGGAGUUAUACUUCUGUUCUCUGGCAACAACAAAAGUCAAACCAUGAAACACGUGCUCUUAUUUUAUUCUAGAAGACAGAGAUGAACCAUUCAACCAAGGGAGCCUAGAAUCUCCUUUGUUUCAUCCCAGUAAUGUCAGAAGAGGGACACGGCUGCUAUAGUUGUUUUAUCCCUUUACUACACACAUAAAAGACAAACAUAUAUGCAUGUAUAUGUAUGUGUACAUGUAGACAUACAAAAAUAUACGCACAAAUAUCAGAAAACACUAAGGGCAAAAGUUAAGAGACAGAAGUCGGCAGACUAACCCGGCAUAUUUUCCGAGAUUUUUUAAGUGACUGGCUCAGAAUACCCAAGAAUACAGAUAUUUGUACUUUAGAGUUAGAACAAUCUAUUCCAACCUCUUUGUUUCAAAAAGGAGCCACUUCCCACUUAGGGGAAAAUCGGAGGACUAAAUUGACUUCUAAGGUCUCUUUCAGAUGAAAAAUAAUCAUACGAUCCUUUGAUGCUGGAAUUCACAGGACUACUUAGAAGCAAAGCUAAAAAUCAAAUUCUCAUCUCGGCUUCCGGGCCAAAUUUCACCUAUAGCUAACUAUUUGCUAGUGAUUCGAACAUUUCAAGUAACUAUUUAGUCUACAGAGAUUGUGAGAUAAACUAACAUCCAGCCUCUGAGGGCCACGUACAGCUAUAUGCUUGUGCAUGUAGAGGUAUAAGCAAAGGAGGAUUUGGAUCCCUGCCCAGUCCCCCAUUCAGCUGAUACAGAGGAAAUAUGAAGAGAUGAAGGGAGAAGGGGGAGAGGGGGAAACGGAGGGAGCAAAAGAGGGAAGACAAAAAGGGGAAGGAGGCGGAAACUAAAGGAUGAAGGAAGGAUAGGCGGGAAAGGAAGACAAAAGAAGGAAGGGUCAUUUAUUACAUGUCUAUUACCUGUCAGACACUGUGCUAAUAAGCUUUUUACAAAUAUUACUUUUGAUCCUCACAACAAUCCUGGCGAGUCCGUGCGAUCAUUAGUUUAUCUUGAGAAAUCUGAAGCCGAGGUUAAGUGACUUGGUAACCUCACACAGACAUUGAGUGUCUAAGGGCCAGGCACAAAGUCCGCUGCCCAACCACUGCCCCAGGAGGGAGUAAUUACAGGGAUGGAUGUGUCAGCAGCCAGCAAGUGUUCCUCCGUAUGUCACUAGGAAGUCUUCUCUCUGCCGGAGUCAUAAGGGAGGCAUAAGAUGCACGAUGAACAAGAUGCAACGUGGACAGUGGAAGGAAGAAUCCAGGACGAGUGUAAUGUGCUUGUACCAGCGUGAUCUCCGGACACACGGCUUCCCGAUGGCGAGGCUGGAUCUCUAACCAUCUGGCGCACUGCCUCUGCAGAGUGUCUGUCUAUACCUGUCUUCAAACACGUAUUAGAGUCUUUGUAUUUUGUUCCUGUUCACAUUAACCCUCAGCCACUCCUGCCACCUGGAUUCCAUUUUGCCAUUCUAAUGAGAGCUGGUUUCCAUAUUGGCAACCCUUAGUACCUUCUAAGUCAAAGCUGCAGGUGACGCCUGACCCGCUGAUCCAGACAGCAAUAGAAGGACAAAUGCAUAAUGAGUUGAGCAGGCAGUGUGCCCUCCCCCAAGCAAUCCUGGUGUACACACCAGAAGUGGAAUAAAAGAGAUUUUAAGGACAAAGGUGGCCAGAAAACCCAGCUGAUCAGGAAGAGGGAUGGUCUGAAGUCUUGUCAAUCUCCUUGCCCCAGUCAGAGAACCAGAGAAAGGCCUCUCUUGGUUUGGUGGCGAGGGAUGUGCUCACAUAGGACAGCAGGGGAAAGCACUGGACUAAGAGUCCAGAGAAC